UGGGGAAUAUUGCACAAUGGGCGAAAGCCUGAUGCAGCAACGCCGCGUGAGUGAUGAAGGCCUUCGGGUUGUAAAGCUCUGUCUUUUGGGACGAUAAUGACGGUACCAAAGGAGGAAGCCACGGCUAACUACGUGCCAGCAGCCGCGGUAAUACGUAGGUGGCAAGCGUUGUCCGGAUUUACUGGGCGUAAAGGAUGCGUAGGCGGAUUUUUAAGUGAGAUGUGAAAUACCCGGGCUUAACUUGGGUGCUGCAUUUCAAACUGGGAAUCUAGAGUGCGGGAGAGGAGAAUGGAAUUCCUAGUGUAGCGGUGAAAAUGCGUAGAGAUUAGGAAGAACACCAGUGGCGAAAGGCGAUUCUCUGGACCGUAACUGACGCUGAGGCAUGAAAGCGUGGGUAGCAAAACAGGAUUAGAUACCCUGGUAGUCCACGCCGUAAAACGAUGAGUACUAGGUGUAGGAGGUAUCGACCCCUUCUGUGCCGCAGUUAACACAAUAAAGUACUCCGCCUGGGAAAGUAACGAUCGCAAGAUUAAAAACUUAAAAGG
rnacentral:rRNA from 1 species